rnacentral:lncRNA from 1 species
GUUUGUUUUUCUAGCGGGGUAUUGUCAUCUGUUGUUUCCCCAGUAGCCUUUCCCAAGGCUUCCAACUCUACUUCCUUUUUUAACCCUUGAUCAAGGGUAGUUUUGACUGGGUUUUCUAGCAGUUCUUUCCCAUAUUACAAGGUGAUGGCACUGAUAUUGGGCUGCGGGUUCACUUCUGUUUGGGAGGGCAAUCUGCCCUAAGUUCAAGCUGGCUCAUGGAAGUCGCGAGUUGGCUGACUUGUGUCUCAAAUUUUGAAUGCUAGCUCUUGUUUCCUAUAAAAAUUGUUGGGUGUUAGAGGCAAGUGACUUAAUAAUUUUCUCGAAGGACAUACCUUAUUUGGGGGGUGUUACUUACUGCAGUGGAAUUCGUAUGUUUGGGUAUUAUUGGUAGUUUUACUGCCUCGCUCCAUAGCUAAUGUUGGGGUGGUCUCUCCAUAUGGGAUUAUACAUGUUGGAGAAAGGAUCAUACCUCCUUUGUUUAUGAGUUGGGAAGCCACCCACCACAUUGACUUACUGACGGUCAUCAUCCUAGAGCAUGGAGCAUAUAUCCCUGGGGUGUCCGAAUGUGCACAAAUCCUGCAUACU